UGUCCUGCUGUGCUCCGGCUGAGCCUCAGCUGCUAUGGACGGAUCUCCGAAACAUGUCCCUCUUCACUCCUGCAGCUCUAAACAGUCUGAAAUGCGUGUAAUGUCCUGUAACUGUCUCUUCAUGAUUGGCUGUGAGGAAAUGUUGAGCGGAUUGAGGAGAGGACACACCUCCACCUGUCCGGAUGCUUCAAACACAUCCUCAUGUAAUAGUACUGGAGCAUUAGCAUGUGCUGGUAAUUAACUCUACGGGACUUUUAAAAUGUUUAUUCACGGGUUUAUUUUCUUUACUUGAGAGCAAAGCAGAGCAUGUAUGAACGCAGAGCGAGUCCAACUGAACAACGAGCACAUUAUUCCAUUCGUUCAUUUUAUUUGAUGUUUCGAUGAAGUAAUUGUCCUGUAAUUAGUUUUAGUCUAGGUGAGCUAAUUAAAAUGUGAAAACCAUAUUCAUUUUGGGUGUUGGUGUUCUUUUAGUAUCUUUGUUUGUUUCAUUAUUCGUGACAGUCACAUAUCUGCCAUGUUGUAUUGUAUUUAAAAUUAUUAUAAGUAUUAUUCAUUUUCCUUCAGCUUAGUCUCUAUUUUAGGGGUCACCACAGUGGAAUGAACCACCAACUAUUCCAGCAUAUGUUUUACACAGCGGAUGCUCUUCCGCCCGCAACCCAGUACUGGGAAACACCCAUACAUGCACUCGUACACUACGGCCAAUUAGUUAAUCAAUUCCCCUAUAACACAUGUGUUUGGACUGUGUGGGAAACUGGGAGGAAACCCACACCAACACAGGGAGAACAUGCAAACUCCACACAGAAACACCAACUGACCUAGCCGGGGCUCGAAAUAGCAACCUUCUUGCCUUUGAGACCACCGUGCCGCCCUAUUAUUUUUUAACUGGUCGUAGUGUGGGUGGAUGAGCGUGUAUGGGUGUUUCCCUGUACUGGGUUGCUGCUGGAAGUGCAUCCGCUGCGUAAAACAUGCUGGAAUAGUUGGUGGUUCAUUUCGCUGUGGUGAUCCCUGAUUAAUAUUAAGGGACUAAACCAGGGGUGUCCAAACUCAGUCCUGGAGGGCCGGUGUCCUGCAAAGUUUAGUUCCAACCCCAAUCAGACUCACCUGAGCUAGCUAAUCAGCUCUUACUAGGCUUUCUAGAAACAUCCUUGCAGUUGUAGUGAGGCAAGUUGGAGCUCAAAUCUGCAGGACUGCGUUUGGGCACCCCUGGACUAAACCAAUGGAGAAUGAUUGAAUGCUUCACUAACUACAGUGUGGUUCACGUAUACUGUAGUAUUAACUAUUCCCACCUGUGUGUAACACCGAAUAAUAAUAAUGAUUUGUAUAUUUUUCUUCCAAUAUGUUUCUGAGAAGUGUAAUUUCAGUUACAGAAAUAAAUGUAAAUAUGCUUA
rnacentral:lncRNA from 1 species